GCGGGCGUAGCUCAGUGGUAGAGCCUCAGCUUUCCAAGCUGAUGACGUGAGUUCGAUUCUUGCCGCCCGCU
rnacentral:tRNA from 1 species